GAUGAACGCUGGCGGCGUGCCUAAUACAUGCAAGUCGAGCGAACGGACGAGAAGCUUGCUUCUCUGAUGUUAGCGGCGGACGGGUGAGUAACACGUGGAUAACCUACCUAUAAGACUGGGAUAACUUCGGGAAACCGGAGCUAAUACCGGAUAAUAUUUUGAACCGCAUGGUUCAAAAGUAAAAGACGGUCUUGCUGUCACUUAUAGAUGGAUCCGCGCUGCAUUAGCUAGUUGGUAAGGUAACGGCUUACCAAGGCAACGAUGCAUAGCCGACCUGAGAGGGUGAUCGGCCACACUGGAACUGAGACACGGUCCAGACUCCUACGGGAGGCAGCAGUAGGGAAUCUUCCGCAAUGGGCGAAAGCCUGACGGAGCAACGCCGCGUGAGUGAUGAAGGUCUUCGGAUCGUAAAACUCUGUUAUUAGGGAAGAAUAUAUGUGUAAGUAACUGUGCACAUCUUGACGGUACCUAAUCAGAAAGCCACGGCUAACUACGUGCCAGCAGCCGCGGUAAUACGUAGGUGGCAAGCGUUAUCCGGAAUUAUUGGGCGUAAAGCGCGCGUAGGCGGUUUUUUAAGUCUGAUGUGAAAGCCCACGGCUCAACCGUGGAGGGCCAUUGGAAACUGGAAAACUUGAGUGCAGAAGAGGAAAGUGGAAUUCCAUGUGUAGCGGUGAAAUGCGCAGAGAUAUGGAGGAACACCAGUGGCGAAGGCGACUUUCUGGUCUGUAACUGACGCUGAUGUGCGAAAGCGUGGGGAUCAAACAGGAUUAGAUACCCUGGUAGUCCACGCCGUAAACGAUGAGUGCUAAGUGUUAGGGGGUUUCCGCCCCUUAGUGCUGCAGCUAACGCAUUAAGCACUCCGCCUGGGGAGUACGACCGCAAGGUUGAAACUCAAAGGAAUUGACGGGGACCCGCACAAGCGGUGGAGCAUGUGGUUUAAUUCGAAGCAACGCGAAGAACCUUACCAAAUCUUGACAUCCUUUGACAACUCUAGAGAUAGAGCCUUCCCCUUCGGGGGACAAAGUGACAGGUGGUGCAUGGUUGUCGUCAGCUCGUGUCGUGAGAUGUUGGGUUAAGUCCCGCAACGAGCGCAACCCUUAAGCUUAGUUGCCAUCAUUAAGUUGGGCACUCUAAGUUGACUGCCGGUGACAAACCGGAGGAAGGUGGGGAUGACGUCAAAUCAUCAUGCCCCUUAUGAUUUGGGCUACACACGUGCUACAAUGGACAAUACAAAGGGCAGCGAAACCGCGAGGUCAAGCAAAUCCCAUAAAGUUGUUCUCAGUUCGGAUUGUAGUCUGCAACUCGACUACAUGAAGCUGGAAUCGCUAGUAAUCGUAGAUCAGCAUGCUACGGUGAAUACGUUCCCGGGUCU
rnacentral:rRNA from 1 species